GACGAACGCUGGCGGCGUGCCUAAUACAUGCAAGUAGAACGCUGACUACUUUAGCUUGCUAGAGUAGAAGGAGUUGCGAACGGGUGAGUAACGCGUAGGUAACCUGCCUACUAGCGGGGGAUAACUAUUGGAAACGAUAGCUAAUACCGCCUAACAGUGUUUAACACAUGUUAGAUGCUUGAAAGACGCAAUUGCAUCACUAGUAGAUGGACCUGCGUUGUAUUAGCUAGUUGGUGGGGUAACGGCCCACCAAGGCGACGAUACAUAGCCGACCUGAGAGGGUGAUAGGCCACACUGGGACUGAGACACGGCCCAGACUCCUACGGGAGGCAGCAGUAGGGAAUCUUCGGCAAUGGGGGCAACCCUGACCGAGCAACGCCGCGUGAGUGAAGAAGGUUUUCGGAUCGUAAAGCUCUGUUGUAAGAGAAGAACGUGUGUGAGAGUGGAAAGUUCACACAGUGACGGUAACUUACCAGAAAGGGACGGCUAACUACGUGCCAGCCGCCGCAGUAA
rnacentral:rRNA from 1 species